rnacentral:rRNA from 1 species
CCUACGGGCGGCAGCAGUGGGGAAUAUUGGACAAUGGGGGCAACCCUGAUCCAGCCAUGCCGCGUGUGUGAAGAAGGCCCUCGGGUUGUAAAGCACUUUCAGUGAGGAAGAACGCCUGGUGGUUAAUACCCAUCAGCAAAGACAUCACUCACAGAAGAAGCACCGGCUAACUCCGUGCCAGCAGCCGCGGUAAUACGGAGGGUGCGAGCGUUAAUCGGAAUUACUGGGCGUAAAGCGCGCGUAGGUGGCUUGAUAAGCCGGUUGUGAAAGCCCCGGGCUCAACCUGGGAACGGCAUCCGGAACUGUCAAGCUAGAGUGCAGGAGAGGAAGGUAGAAUUCCCGGUGUAGCGGUGAAAUGCGUAGAGAUCGGGAGGAAUACCAGUGGCGAAGGCGGCCUUCUGGACUGACACUGACACUGAGGUGCGAAAGCGUGGGUAGCAAACAGGAUUAGAUACCCUAGUAGUC